CGUUCAGAGCGUCUGUUAUUUUCUCUUCCGUUGCAACGCACGUGCUCUUUUGCUAGUGAAUAACUAUUAGAGCACACUACUGUAAUUUUUUAUCAUUGUUACCAUUUGGCGUGUGAUUUUCCCAUUGUUUCUUCUGUACACUGCCCUAGAAAAGGUAAUAAUGUUGCUCAUGAACUAGCGAGGUUAAGGACCCUCUUGUACUAGCUUCCUUCAUCUACCUCUAGUGUGUCCAUCCCUCUCUUAAUGAAUGAUGUAAUUGUGAUUGGAAACAUGAGCAACGGAUUUGUUCAUCUACCUCUCCUACCUCCACUUUUGUGAAAUUUAUGCAUGAUUGUAAACAUAAGUAUUCACUAGAGCACUGACGAUCGCCUCAUUUACACCCUCCCAUCUGCCCCUCCCUCUCUGUCCCUCAUGAGUACCUCUCCACCGCCUAUUUAAAGACCACAACCACAAAUGCAUCAACAGAAGCAUAUGUUCUCACGCACACAACACGAGAGAGCGAGUUGGAUCUAUAGCUCCACAUUACCAAGAAGAAGUCUAGGACUGUCACAUCCAUUGGCCUACACGGCCUAGUGCUGGUGGUAUGUGUGUGUGCUAAUUUUUAGUUGUUAUAUUGCACGUGCAUGAUGCUAAUAUACCGAGGUUCUUAUUGCAUUUAAAUACAAGAAGAUAUCUUAUUGAAGGUUUCCUCUUCCUAUUUGAAUUUUGUGAGACUCGUGAGCGAUGCUCAAUUUCAUGAGGAAGAAGACUAUAAACUCAAUAUGUAUAUGUAUUACUUUAUACCAAAAAAUGACCAGAACUACCAACUACAAAAAAGGGAUUCAAUCUAAUAUCUGAAUCAAAUCCUUGCUUUAGGUUGCCCAAGGUGCUACUUUUGAAAAAAACUACCAACUACAAAAAAGGGAUUCAAUCUAAUAUCUGAAUCAAAUCCUUGCUUUAGGUUGCCCAAGGUGCUACUUUUGAAAAAAUAUUGGUUGCCCAUGACGCUACUUUUGACAACAAAAUAGAUGCCACAUAUCAGUGUAUUUUUACCCAGAAAAUCCUUGAGCUUAUAAUUUCUAUACAUUUAUGGAUUCAAUUUAUGUAAAUGCUGCUAUACAGAACCUAGAGUGGGAGGCACCAAUAUAUGCCUCGUCAUUGCGGAGUUGAACUUCAUUAAGAAUUAGGACAAAGACCUAGGUGAUCCAUUGGUGUUGAAUGUUCAAGGUAAGUGUAAUAUUACCCUCCAUUUUAAGUUGGUCAUGUGUCUUAUAGAGGAACCAAAUUCGACUAUUAAAUUGUGGACAGUUCACUUAUAACAUAUAUGAGCAAGCAAUGAAGCAAAUAACAUCACCCGCAAAAACAAUGAAGCAAAUAACAUAAAUGUUCUUGGGCUGCACGCAUCCUCUAGUUGCGGCGAUUAAUGGAGCAUUAUGAUUUUAUAAUAGCAUUUUUCUUUGUGUAUACUUCUCCUAUAGUUCUUAUGAUAAGCACUUAUAGCUAAUAUGCAUUUCAUGAUUAGAUGCUUUUUGGCGGGUAGUAUUAUUAAUAAACCUUUAAAAGAAGGGGGUUUUAGAUACUCGAUCAAUAUAAUGGUUUUCAGUGGUCUGGUGCUCAAUACAAUUGUCUGGUAUUAAAUAAAUAAAAUUACUUUACUUUCACUAAUUGAUUGUCCUUUGCAAUAUUUACCUUCAAUUUUAAAAUAGGACAAAAAACAGUUCAUUAGCAAGGACCAAGGUUUACAUAACGAUCAGUCGAUAACUGCCAGUGAGAUGUUAAUGCAUUAAAUCAAGAACAAAUGUGGCUUAUGAUGGGCAAGAACAAUAAGAAGCCAUCAAUCAAUACUAAAUAAGAAAACCAAUAUCAAACAAGGUUUAUAUGUGUGUUUCUGUUUUCAGUGCUAUGGGAGAUUGUUUAAGGCUGAUUGUACAAUAUUGUCGGUAGACCUGUCUCUUUACCAUACAAUCUGAUGUUCUACCUAAAAGUCCUACCAGGUUAGAAUUAUAUUUUUGUGUCUCAUCAUACAAGUACAAUACAUAGAAUACACUGCGGUGCUCUGUUUUGCUAAUACAAAACUUUCUUUUCCAUCUCCUUAAAUUUUAAGCAACCUAUUUCAUUUAUAACAUCAAUAUUCCAUACCUAUCAUAUAUUUCUGAAAUUUCCUACCAUUAUACUGUAAAACAGACGGGUGCUGCAAUGCGCACCAUUCACGUUCUUGUUGAUCAAUAUGUGCGGGCACGACUUAAUUAACCCGACCUUACACAUGCACAUCGGCUACUCGAAACAAAUAUCCCAAAGUAAAGAAAAGUUCUCACACUCCAUAUAUUAAAAUUGAAGUAAGAGAGUACACUCAAACGAUGACGAAAAACAAAUUGUUCUUGUCCCUUGUAAAUAUUUUGAAUUUUGAAGUCAAAUUCAAAAAGAAGAAAAAGGUACUAGAACACUGCUACUAGUUCGUAUAAAUGUUAUCAAUUUAUUUGCCAUUCAAUUUUGUGCCGCCACUUCCUGGGUAGCAACAAUAACUACCAUGAAUCACUAUUAGAACACUGUUGCAAGUUUUAAUCAUUGCUACCAUUUGUCGGGUGAUUUCCCCGUUGUAUCUUUUGUGCACUGUCCUAUGGGAGGUAAUAAUGUUGCUCAUGAACUAGCGAAUUUGGUUAAGAGCCCUCCUGUAAUAGCUUCAUUGAUCGACUCUCUAGUGCGUACAUCCUUCUCUUGUUGAAUGAAGUAUAUUUGAUUGGAACGUAAUAAAGGAGGGAGAAGGUUAUAAAAGCCCAUGAAACUGAUAGAAAAAGACGAUCUAGAUCAAUGGCCGCCACUUCGGUAGCGGUGCCCAUAGAAGCACCAAAAAAAUUGGACCUAUACCUUCCCAAACUUGGGUUUUGGGCCAUCAAGUCCAUGUUCAAAAUCUAAAAGCCCAACCAGUGCAUAAUACAACCAACCGAUUCUCACGCAUUUUAUAUUGUCCGCCUAGGCAAAUGGUACAAAUCACAUACCUCUCCAACGACAAGGGCCGGUCUAUUGAGUUCGUAUUUUUCUGGUCAUCUUUUCGCGCAUGGCUUUCUUUCUGCUUCACACGUAUUUCACAUUCUUUGUUUCUCAGUUGUUCUUUCAGUUUUUGCUUU
rnacentral:lncRNA from 1 species